rnacentral:rRNA from 1 species
AACCCAAAUUAAUAAGCCCACGGCGUAAAACGUGUUAAAGAAUAUAGCUCACUAAAGUUAAAACCUAGCCAAGCUGUAAAAAGCUACUGCUAGCAUAAAACAUGCCACGAAAGUGACUUUACUAUCUCCGACUACACGACAGCUAAGACCCAAACUGGGAUUAGAUACCCCACUAUGCUUAGCCCUAAACAUAGAUAAUUAAAUCAACAAAAUUAUUUGCCAGAGAACUACUAGCAAUAGCUUAAAACUCAAAGGACUUGGCGGUGCUUUAUACCCCUCUAGAGGAGCCUGUUCUAUAAUCGAUAAACCCCGAUAAACCUCACCACUUCUUGCUAAAU